AUUGAACGCUGGCGGCGUGCCUAAUACAUGCAAGUCGAACGCAGUGGGGACGGGUGAGUAACCCGUGGGUAACCUCCCAUCAGAGGGGAUAACACUUGUAAACAGGUGCUAAUCCGAUACUGAUGGAUGGAACCGCGGUGCAUUAGCUAGUUGGUGGGGUAACGGCUCACCAAGGCCACGAUGCAUAGCCGAACGGAGAGGGUGAUCGGCCACACUGGGACUGAGACACGGUCCAGACCCCUACGGGAGGCAGCAGUAGGGAAUAUUAGGCAAUGGACGAAAGUCUGACCGAGCCACGCCGCGUGAGUGAAGAAGGUCUUCGGAUCGUAAAACUCUGUUGUCAGGGAAGCGGUAUCUACACAGAAAGCCACGGCUAACUACGUGCCAGCAGCCGCGGUAAUAC
rnacentral:rRNA from 1 species